GAAAUGCGAUAAUUAAUGUGAAUUGCAGAAUUCAGUGAAUCAUCGAGUCUUUGAACGCACAUUGCGCCCCCUGGUAUUCCGGGGGGCAUGUCUGUCCGAGCGUCAUUGCUGCCCUCAAGCACGGCUUGUGUGUUGGGCUUCCGUCCCUGGCAACGGGGACGGGCCCAAAAGGCAGUGGCGGCACCAUGUCUGGUCCUCGAGCGUAUGGGGCUUUGUCACCCGCUCCCGUAGGUCCAGCUGGCAGCUAGCCUCGCAACCAAUCUUUUUAACCAGGUUGACCUCGGAUCAGGUAGGGAUACCCGCUGAACUUAAGC
rnacentral:misc_RNA from 1 species